UAACACGUGGGAACGUGCCUUUAGGUUCGGAAUAACUCAGGGAAACUUGUGCUAAUACCGGAUGUGCCCUUCGGGGGAAAGAUUUAUCGCCUUUAGAGCGGCCCGCGUCUGAUUAGCUAGUUGGUGAGGUAAUGGCUCACCAAGGCUACGAUCAGUAGCUGGUCUGAGAGGAUGACCAGCCACAUUGGGACUGAGACACGGCCCAAACUCCUACGGGAGGCAGCAGUGGGGAAUCUUGCGCAAUGGGCGAAAGCCUGACGCAGCCAUGCCGCGUGAAUGAUGAAGGUCUUAGGAUUGUAAAAUUCUUUCACCGGGGACGAUAAUGACGGUACCCGGAGAAGAAGCCCCGGCUAACUUCGUGCCAGCAGCCGCGGUAAUACGAAGGGGGCUAGCGUUGCUCGGAAUUACUGGGCGUAAAGGGAGCGUAGGCGGACUGUUUAGUCAGAGGUGAAAGCCCAGGGCUCAACCUUGGAAUUGCCUUUGAUACUGGCAGUCUUGAGUACGGAAGAGGUAUGUGGAACUCCGAGUGUAGAGGUGAAAUUCGUAGAUAUUCGGAAGAACACCAGUGGCGAAGGCGACAUACUGGCUCAUUACUGACGCUGANGCUCGAAAGCGUGGGGAGCAAACAGGAUUAGAUACCCUGGUAGUCCACGCCGUAAACGAUGAUUGCUAGUUGCCGGGAUGCAUGCAUUUCGAUGACGCAGCUAACGCAUUAGGCAAUCCGCCUGG
rnacentral:rRNA from 1 species